UACGAAGGGGGGCUAGCGUUGCUCGGAAUCACUGGGCGUAAAGGGUGCGUAGGCGGGUCUUUAAGUCAGGGGUGAAAUCCUGGAGCUCAACUCCAGAACUGCCUUUGAUACUGAAGAUCUUGAGUUCGGGAGAGGUGAGUGGAACUGCGAGUGUAGAGGUGAAAUUCGUAGAUAUUCGCAAGAACACCAGUGGCGAAGGCGGCUCACUGGCCCGGUACUGACGCUGAGGUGCGAAAAGCGUGGGGGAGCAAACAGG
rnacentral:rRNA from 1 species